rnacentral:rRNA from 1 species
UACGUAGGGGGCAAGCGUUGUCCGGAAUCAUUGGGCGUAAAGCGCGCGCAGGUGGUUUCUUAAGUCUGAUGUGAAAGCCCACGGCUCAACCGUGGAGGGUCAUUGGAAACUGGGAGACUUGAGUGCAGAAGAGGAAAGUGGAAUUCCAUGUGUAGCGGUGAAAUGCGUAGAGAUAUGGAGGAACACCAGUGGCGAAGGCGACUUUCUGGUCUGUAACUGACACUGAGGCGCGAAAGCGUGGGGAGCGAACAGG